rnacentral:rRNA from 1 species
UACGAAGGGGGCUAGCGUUGUUCGGAAUUACUGGGCGUAAAGCGCACGUAGGCGGACAUUUAAGUCAGGGGUGAAAUCCCAGAGCUCAACUCUGGAACUGCCUUUGAUACUGGGUGUCUUGAGUAUGGAAGAGGUGAGUGGAAUUCCCAGUGUAGAGGUGAAAUUCGUAGAUAUUGGGAAGAACACCGGUGGCGAAGGCGGCGCUCUGGACCGAGACUGACGCUGAGGCGCGAAAGCGUGGGGAGCAAACAGG